AUUGAACGCUGGCGGCAGGCCUAACACAUGCAAGUCGAGCGGAUGAAGGGAGCUUGCUCCUGGCUUCAGCGGCGGACGGGUGAGUAAUGCCUAGGAAUCUGCCUGGUAGUGGGGGAUAACGUCCGGUAACGGGCGCUAAUACCGCAUCCGUCCUGAGGGAGAAAGUGGGGGAUCUUCGGACCUCACGCUAUCAGAUGAGCCUAGGUCGGAUUAGCUAGUUGGUGGGGUAAAGGCCUACCAAGGCGACGAUCCGUAACUGGUCUGAGAGGAUGAUCAGUCACACUGGAACUGAGACACGGUCCAGACUCCUACGGGAGGCAGCAGUGGGGAAUAUUGGACAAUGGGCGAAAGCCUGAUCCAGCCAUGCCGCGUGUGUGAAGAAGGUCUUCGGAUUGUAAAGCACUUUAAGUUGGGAGGAAGGGCAGUAAAUGAAUACCUUGCUGUUUUGACGUUACCAACAGAAUAAGCACCGGCUAACUUCGUG
rnacentral:rRNA from 1 species